CCGACAAACAUUCGUCUGCGGAGAAAAUCAUCUGUCAGACAGUCAACAAGAUUUUAUGUCUAUCUCACGUUUUAGAUCAUUUUCAAGAUCAUCAGCCACCAUGGCAAGAAGAGAGAGCAGAGCCAGCAGGGACUACAACAGAGGGAUGGAGAAGAUGAGGAAACACAUGGAGGCUGAGAUGCAGGAGAAGGAAGAAAAGUUGAGGACUGCUGCUAAGAUCAUGGUCCUAAAGGAGAUGGAGUCCUGGAGAAGUGACAGAGAGCAACUUCUGGAUGAGAGGAAGACCAUGCAGAAGAAUCUCUCUGUCACUGAAGAAGAAAAGAGGAAGUUGAAGAGUGACGUUCAGGAGGAAAAAGACAAGAACAGAAACAGAGAAGAAGAGAUCUGGUCUUUUCACUGCCAGCUCUCUACUCAGAAAGAAAAAUAUGACUCCGCCAAUGCUCUCUGGUGGAGGAAGCUGCAUGAAGUGCUGGAGAAGGCAGCAGGGGCAAUCAAAAAGAGAGAUGAGCAGGUCAUCUUUCUUGAACGGAGCCUCCAUGCUGAGAAAGAAGACACAGAGAGGAAGAGAACCUCUGUUGAGGAAGAGUCCAGCAGGUUGGAGAGCGUGAAAGAAAGCUGGCGGCAAAAAGUCAGCCAGCUUGAAGACACUCACCCUCUAACUCAACUCUAAUUUCCCCUUCAAAGGUCCACAUACUUUUGCCAUGCACAAAUAUGUAACAUUGGGUCAUUUUCCUCAAUAAGCAGCAGUGGGUUGCAGAUUGUACAGGUAACAUUUUUAUCAGUGCUUGACUAUGCAGAUGUAAUUCAAAUGCAUGCUGCUGUGCUGCCCACACCCUCAAAUGCAUUGAUGCUGUGUAUUACAGUUCUCUUAGAUUUAUUACAGGUGACAGUUUUAGAACUCAUCAUUGUAUCCUAUGUGAGAAGGUAGAGUGGACAUCACUUACCACUCGAGGGGAACAACACUCUUAUUUAUAAAGCCAUCGUAAAUGAGCUACACACUAAGAAAUCAAGGUACAGGAAUAGGUACCAAUGCUUUGUCGCUCCAGCUGUACCCUAACAGGGUACAAGCACUGCACCUUUGAACGUGGUACUUUCUUGUCUGCACCUCUAAAAGAACAUUUCUGCACCCCUAGAGACAAAAAUGUACCUUUAUGUCCUGGUACAAAAAUGUACUCUUUUGAAAGGUACAGAAUUGGUACCUAAUGAGGUACAGCUGGAGCGACAUGUCAUUUUGUACCUUUAUGCGGCAAAAACGUACCCUUAAAUUCAGAGACAAAAACAUUUGAAAUUAUUCACCAAAAUUUAUUUGAAGAACAAUAAUAAUAUUUAUAAUUGGGUAAACAGAGUCCACCAGAAAUUUUGGGACAAGAGAGAGUGGAAAAGCUGAUCCCGGGAGGUUUCCCAUUCCAAAUAAAAUACCUACACAUAGAGUCAAGAUCCUUAAAAAACUAUGAAACUGAUUUGUGGAAGUAUAUUCAUUUUUAUAAGAGACAUGACCAUGGAAACCAGCAUCUAAAACAGACCAUCUGUUGAGAUCUUUCUUCACUUCAGUAAGAACUAUAUUGAAAUGAUCUAUGUUCAGGUGUGACAUUGUAGGUCUGAUUUGGAUACCUAAGUAAAGCUAUGAUUUUGAGACUGGAAGGUGAGUUAGAUCAUGGUUUAUACUUGUCAUAUAUAGUGGCAUAAGUAUUGAUUUUGACCAGUUUAUUUUAUAACCAGAGAAGGAGCCAAACAUGUGGAAGAGAUUCAAAACAUGGGGUACAGAGUUAGCUACAUCUGAGAGGUACAAUAAAAUGUCAUCUGCAUAAAGAGAAAUAUGAUGAGGUGUUCCUUUAAUUAUGAUAGGAGAUAUGGCAUGAUUUUCUCUAACUGCCUGGGGUAAUGGUUCCAAUGAGAGGGCAAACAGACCUGGGGAACGCGGGCAACCCUACCUGGUCCCUCUUGUUAAAACAAAGUCGGAAGCCAGGACAUGGCUGAGAGACAAAGGAGCUACAUGACCUUCUUACCAUGCAAAACUACCAUUUUCCACAAUUCUGAACUACAUUUUGGACACAUUGAGCAGAGCACUAUCUGAGCUCUUUUCUAUCAUCACAUACCUGACAGUUUUCAUAUAUGCUAUGGAGUGUUCCAGCUGACAUUUCCUGUAUGUAAAUGUAUGUAGUGCAUAUGGUGCUUUGUGUGGCUGUUUUAUGUUUAAUGCCUGUUUUAUGUGUUAUGCAGAUUUAUGUUGAUGCUCAUGGACAUGUUGUGUAGGUGUGGGGCUCCUGCUGGAGGCUUCAAGUGAACUGGAGUGCAGUCCUCUGCAUCUUCUUAUCUGUUUAUACAGCACACUCCUCAUUUAACCAUUAGUCAUGACAUACACACAUUUGCAGACAAACACACUUGCAUGUUCAAAUACAUCUAAGUAUAUACCCAUGUGAGUCCUAAUUUCACCACACUACACUACUACUACUUUCAGUUCACUAGUAUUGUAUGCACAGGAUUGCAUAUAUUAAUGCAUAUAAAGACCUACCAACAUACAUGUCUGUCACCAUAAGAUCCCAGCUAAAGUCACAUACACACCAAAAAUAACACACGAUUAAAGCUGCAAGCAGCGAUGAUUGGG